GUGUCAUUUCCAACACUAACCAUUUUCCCCCCUGAGUGUUUAUUUAGCCAUCUCUCAGGAGAGUCUCUUGGCUCUGUGAGCUCUAAUGAUCAAUGACCCGUCAUUUCCUCAUGGCAUCAUGGCUCAACCUCACAUAUUACAAAUGUAGUCAUCUCUCCUCACUCUCCUCUUUAUCUCUCUACUCUCUCCGUUCUUCGCUCAAUAUCUUACUCUCACUCUCUGAAAGUCAUUAUCUGUCGGCGUUGAAAAAAAGAGAAAGACUCUUUCAGAUCCAUAUAGGCCUUGGGUAUCUGGACAAAAAACUAAUUCAGUGGUUAUCUGAAAUUCAAUUUGCCAAGAUUCUGAUUCAAAAAGCUGUUCAGCUCUCAAGCGGUAGCAGUAUAUUUGUCAGCACCAGGCUGUCGGUAUUACAUCAGCCUCUUUCCUGCAGAAUGAUGCAAACUGAGAGGAGACGGAAGGAAAGAUAGUUGUGUCGUACGAUCAAGUGAAUGUAUUCAUCCUCACCUUCAUCUUUGAUUCAGAGUGAUUGCUGUUGACAUGGGCUGUCAUAUUGUUAUGUGAGAUGGGGGGAUUUUUUUAAAGGUUGCUUGAUUGAAUUAACACUGGUCAUUAUUCAUGCACAGUGAGUCGCCAAGAAUUCCUGUUGAAAAGAGAAACACUAGCCAAAUUGGAGAGAGAUCUCUGUGCUGGAAAUGCUCUGGACUGCAGCUCUUUACUACAUUACGUUGAGCGAUAUGGUGCAGUUUGAGAGGGUGCUCUUUAGCAUUUGGCUAUGGGACUUGUGGUAUGUGUUUUCUUAAUGUGAUGUUAAUGCUUUUGUAGGAAGAUGAAUUGUGCCCACCCACUACACUCGGAAAUAGAUCAAGUUGAAGCAGCACACCUCUUUAAAGGCCACAGUUUCUGCUCUGUAGUUAGUUGACCAAGUAGUACAAUUGGAUACUGUAUGUAUCGAGUCAUACAACCUUACAAAUAAACUAAUUAGCUACUUACCUUUUCUUAUUUUUCACAAUAUGGCUAUUUAAUUACAAAUGUAUGUUGCUUUAAAAAGUGUAUGAACUAAUAUUAACUUACUAUUGUCAAUGAGGACGGAUUCAUUAGUUCUAUGAGACAAGGUACAGGGUUACGGGAAAACAAUUUGUGUGCUGAAAAUUGUAGCUCAGACAACCUUCAUAUGAGAAAAUAAAACGUUUUUGUCCAAUAAUUAACUAUUUGCAUAGUUAACGCUGCACUCUACCAACCUUAUUUGACACUGUACUCAUUAAUAUGUGAUGGCAUCAUGAACAAGCAGGAUGCACUUGCCCACUGAGUCUUUCCUAUUUUUUGUUGUUUUCAAAGCUGGACUUAGUAGAGAGAUUCAUGGCUGGUGGAGUGCAAUGCUAUGUGAGUAACAAAGAAAGGGUGGUAGAAUUUGCUUUCAACUCCACUUAAUUCAGAAUUUUACCUGGCAACUUUUGAACAUUACACUGUCCAGGGCUUUGAAAAAGCAUUAAACAUUAAAAUUAAGAAAAGUGCACAAUAAAUAUUGCAGGUAUCAUAAAAUCUGUUUAACUGCAUGAAACUACAUACACCGUGCAUUCAUUUCUUGUUCCCCCGAAAGUGUUAUGAACUUUCAAUGUGACCUUAAAACCUUACAAAGUAAAUAAACAUACAUAUGAUAUAGUGAAACACAAAUCAUCAUUCUAUCAUGACUAUUGAUUUUUAUCCAACACAGUAAUUAAUCUAACAAUUCAUACUUUAUAUUAGCGAGGUGAGGACAGCAAAAAUACUUAAUAUUUAAUGGCAGCCACUAUAGCAAUGUAUCUUUGUUAUUAACAAACCACAGCAUGUGCAAUACCGUGACUUAUCUGAAACAUCUAGCUGUGAUGGGAGUCUCCCUGGUAUUGUUACAGUAUCCACAACCAUUCUGCUAUUUUAUUUGAGCUCUGGAAAAAUACAUUCUCAUACUGUAUGAUGCAAACUGUGCAAAUACUGCAAUGUGGGUUCGAUUGAGUUGCGCCCUGGGCCCGUCAGGGUUUUAGCUAAGCUGUUUUAUAGAAAUCUUCCGAUAGGAAUCAGCAUGGGUAUACAAUAUAGAGUAACACUUCAGGCAGUUGAUGAAGUAGCUUGCUACUGAUACAUACAUUGAUCAGGGAGUUUAUUUUAUUUUGCCCACAUCCACUCUAGAUAAAGAGAUGUAAAUAGUGCACAAGUCAUGGGAGGGAUGCUGGGACAGAGAGAGCAGGGAGAGUAGAGCAGGGAGUAGGGUUGCAAAGGGAGGGUCAUAUUAGUGGAAACUUUUCAAGUUUACCACGAAAACUGUUACGGGAUUUUUGUGUUUAAUGACUAAAAUAUGUAUACAUUUGACUUAGAAUUAUAACUCAUAAAUGUUGAAUGUUAUGUGUUCCUUGUUAGAAAGAAUGGGUUUAUCUUCAGACAGGCUAGAAGGAUGUCUCUACCCAAGGAGGGGAAAGACCUUGGGUUGGUUGUAGAUGGUUUAACAGGUGGCAGACAGUAGUGAGAACUCGAACUGUAUUGCCAUUGUAUCCGAGAGGAGGUUGGACAUUAAAACCUAUGACAUCAUCUUUAUUAUAUAACCUGAUGUAAAUUGUACUAUGAUUCAGUACUCUCGAGAAUAAACGCUAUUGAUUGAUUGAUUUUAA